CUUUACCUCAUGGGAUGAACCCUACAGA
rnacentral:piRNA from 1 species